UACAGAGGGGGCAAGCGUUGUUCGGAAUACUGGGCGUAAAGCGUGCGCAGGCGGCUUCUCAAGUCAGGGGUGAAGCCCAGAGCUCAACUCUGGAACUGCCUUUGAGACUGAGAGGCUUGAGUACGGGAGAGGUGAGUGGAAUUCCCAGUGUAGAGGUGAAAUUCGUAGAUAUUGGGAAGAACACCGGUGGCGAAGGCGGCUCACUGGCCCGUAACUGACGCUCAUGCACGACAGCGUGGGGAGUCAAACAGGAU
rnacentral:rRNA from 1 species